UCAUAAGAAAUGCCAAGUAUAGGAGACUGUGUUUUUUUUUUUUUGUAUUUGUUGCAUUUAAAUUGUUGUGUGCGUUGAAGAAUAACCUACCCUGACCAGUUUCUCAGAGUCUCCUCUCCAUUUGCUGACGAUGCUGGAGGCUGAGAUGUUGAAGAAGGUCGUCUUACACUCUGUAGCCACGGCCUUGGCCAGCAGGGUCUUACCUGUACCUAUGCGUCGAAUAUGGCGAAGGUUUACACCAGUGCAGGUGUUACCUGGAGGGCCAUAAAGCAGCAAGCCCUUCCACGGAGACAGGAUGCCUGUGAACAGCUGGGGGUACUGUAAAGACAGAGAAACCAAUCAGGAGCUGAGCUGUGUACAAAGAAAACCUGAUUUGCGUGAUGUAUAGCUGCGUUGGUUCUGCAAAUACCACACACUACAAAUUUGUCUGAAUUGUAGGUGGCAAACAGAGGCUGAGUGAAAUCACCAAACUGACCUUAUUCCCCAAAGAAUGAAUAAUAAUGGAGACAGAAGUUGGGGAUUGUGGGAAGGUGGAUGUACGGCGUUAUUCAAUAAAACAGGCCAGCAGAAUAGAAGAUGGACACAUCAGUCCUCAUCUCUGUCUGUAAAUGUCAAGAGGAUGCAGACAACCUGAUUUGUUGUCAUCAUAUCCAUGAGAGAGAGGUCUAGGUGAUGAUGAUAGAAGUGUGUGUGUCCUCUACUAAUGUGUUUGUAUGGCAGAUUUUAUUUAUAUGUGCAAUCUCUGUAUGCAGCAGCAGCAAAGUAGUGUGAAUGUGGCUGUGUAUAUAAAUUCGACAUGGCAUUACAUGUGUGUGUUCCCUCCACCUUGCCUAUCUAUGCGUGUAUGUGUGUUACCAUAUUAUGCCACAUAUAGAUUUAAUGUCAGCCUAACAGACUGGCCUGACCCCACUGCCCUCCUUGUCUUUAAGCCCUUUAAAGGAGAUGUAUUCAGAAUCGAAGUCCGGCGACCGGAGCGGAAAUACCAGCAUGCCCAGGCAGCGGCCGCACCUUAAUGGGAUAGACGACGGCCUCUUUGACUAAUCGCUUUGCGUCCUCCAGGCCGAUGAUGUCCUCCCACCGCACAUUGGGGCUGUGCAAAUAGAUGUCCUUUAGGGAUGAACAUACACACACAGAGUGAAUGCAUGUGGAAGAUGUCAAGAAAUGUUAGAAUGGACGCACACACAUCCUGGAGCUAUUAGGCUUUUGUAAAUAGGUGUCCUUUAGAAUGAAACAUCCGAUAAGGGAAAUAGAUAGAACCUGGGCCUUCAUUAAUACAACAGAUCAAUUCAUUCACAACAAAGAUCUUUACUGCUCUCUAGUGGACAUACUGGGUAUCCCAUCACUUCAAGCAUAUUUUCAAAUUCUGUGCCACAUGUUAAGCUAAAAUCAUCUCCUCUGUGUGUUUGUUUCUUGUUUGUCAGUGUUUGCAGAAUAGUAUCUUAGUGGGUGUCGUACCCUGCUGAUAAUUGCAGCCAGUUGUCUCAUCUCACCGCUCAUUCCAGAAAAGCCACUGAGGGGCUUCAGCAGCCUUUCCUG